rnacentral:lncRNA from 1 species
CGAUCAUCCACCGAGAUUAUUUCGGCGCCGGUGAGCUUCCGAGNAGAGCAAUUCCGGAAGGGGGUGGAAGUGGAACAGGGAGCCCGAGGCGCGUCUGCUGCGCUGCUUCCACUGGCGUCUUCGGUGCGCUGGCGGUUCUUUUCUGUGCCCGCCGGUGCGGCUCGCCAGGCCAGUCUUCCUCCUGCCCUACGGAACACGCGNCGGCCGUUGGGGGCCCCGGGCCGGGGAGGGGGGAGGAGCAUCUUUGCCAGUCCGCCGCCGAGCGCAGCCUGGGGCGACGCGGGAUUUGCUUCUGCCCGCAGCCGGCCGCGCCUUCCCGCCUCGAGAGGGGGAGCCAGCCGCGCGGACAUCGCUUGAAUCCUCCCCAAUUCUUCGCGGCGAGCGGGACAGAAGGCGGGCGCUGCUGUCCCUCUUGAAGGCGAGGAGGCUCGGGGGAACCAACCAAGCCCAAUGCUGCCCAGAGCGCCGCCACCACGGCGUGCGUGGCUGCCUCCCUGCUAAGCCGCAGCCGUCCGCGCCGCCCCUCCCCGCCAGGCAACGGGCCCGAAUCGCCGCCGCUUCCUGGAGAGAGGGAGGGGCGACUCCGGGGACCACAGUACCCGGCAUGCCUUUCUCUCCUUUCUUCUUGCGGCUCCGUCUGGAGCAGACGAAGCCAGCGAAGGGCGCAGGCGCGGCGGGCCUCGCGUGUCGCGGGACUCCAUGUCCCGAGAUGCUCAGCGGUGGGACCGGGGCGAAGGGCGGGGCGGGGCGCUCCGAGUGAGCCGCGAGGGCGGGGGAGCGAGCGAGGAGGCGGCGGCGGCGGCGGCAGGAGCGGGGAGGGGGUCGGAGGAGCAGGAGCCGCACCGACCCAGCGACACCGGACGGGGAAGCGGCGGCGGCGGCCCGAAGGAGUGGCGGGAUCCCGAGCCCCGCCGUCGCCUCCGCGGGCGGCCGGGCUGGCUGGGCGGGGGGCUGGCUGGCCAUGGCGGAGCCCAGCCCUGAAGAUCCACCUCCGAAUCUGAAGCCUGAGACGCAGGUAAAGAAAGUUUCCGGAUCUCUUCGGCGGACCUGGGGCCCCUCGUUGGCUGGGGGUGGGGGAGAAAGACCGUUUGAUGCCCCCUGUGCUUUUCAGUGCNCCCAUACCAGCCUCUGCCCGUUUCCUCGCCCGCACAAGGGACCUGUGCCCAGGCCGGAGGUGCCCGUGGCCUCAGCCCAGAGCCGGCAGCCAUCCCCCCAUCCCCCCCAGCGCCUGUCAUCCCCUUCUCUGUUGGGGAGGAUCUGCUCGUGGCCCCGGGCAGGCUUGUGCCUGUGGCGGCAGCAUCCCUCGCCAUGCCCCCCCCCCCCGUUCUCAAGCCCAGAUCUGCAGGCGGGGUGGGUUGUGGGGCUGCUGAGGCGGC